AGAAAUCAUCAUUAAUAAUAAUCUUCAGCCCUUCUCGAUGGAGAAGGGCUUUCUUAGUACCAAAAAAAACCGGGGGCAUCGUGCCUCCGGUUUUACUU
rnacentral:antisense_RNA from 1 species